GCAUCUAUCAUCCCUCUCUCUGUUAUCCCUCUGACAUUUUUGUCCGUGCUUUUGUAGUUCCGACUGUUCAAGAACGAAGAAAUGCACACUGCUUUGUUGAUCAUUGAUGUAUGGACUUUGCUGCAGGUAUGGGCAAAGUUUCUGAGAGGAAAAAGUUUCAAUCAUGUUUCAUUUUUACAUGGCAAUGAUACUCUUGAGGCAUAUCAUGUUGUGAGAUUGCUAUCUUUUGUUUGGACUUUCUUAUGUUUCUUUUUGAUUGGCCUCUCGGAUCAGCCCUUUACAUUUUGGAUGGCAAAAUGUUGUGGGUUUUCCAUUUCUGUUUUCCACUACUUCUCUUAGAUCUUAAGACAACUUAAGGGCUAGCAACUAGAACAUAGUUGGUCACUUGUUUGUCCACCAAUUACGCUCUUGCAUAGUAUCAUACAUAAGUCUCUAUUUUCUAUCGUACAUAAGACUAUUUUUACAGUCAUAUUAUGAUAAUCGGUAGCUAUUUUCAGUCCAACAUUUUCCAGCACUGUAAGCAGAAAGGAUUAUCUGAUUCAAAAUAUACUUUGUUAUACAAAAAGUAUAAUAUGAUGUUUUAACCUCAGUAUUAGGGCAUCUGAAUCAUAUAAAUUACCUGACAAAUUGCUCCCUGGUAGUGUUGAUGAGCAGUUAGCAAAGGAUGUACAUCUUGUAGGUUCCAUUGCAGAGAAACAUGCACAGAUUUUUACAGAGGAGUGCAAGCCUUUUCCUGAAGAUGUCCAAAUACAAUCAAUUUACCCCCCUGCAAGUGCACCCAAUUCGAUGUUCUUGUCUUAGAAGGUCUAAUAUAGCCGAACUAGAGUUGAAGCUCUCUUGAGUAUACCAAUAGAUGUCAAAUCUGCAACAGAUUUGUCCAGGAGCUAGCCUCAAAGUAUGACUAUAAUCUGAACGAAGACUAUGCCGACACAGAGCUGAAGUUGAGGGAACAUUUGCAAUCGUUUCCCGUAACAGUAAAAUCCUUCAAUAUGGCAUACACUGAGGAAAUCCAUACUUGGACCCACAUGAUGGAGGUUUCAUGGUUGCAUGGGUUUGGUCCAGCUACUGACCACUUGUUAGAGGCUUACAACACACUUUUAAAGGUGCAUGCCGAUCAAAUGAAGGCGCGGGCGAAGAAUAGCAUGACCAAGAAGUAGGCGAGGGUAGAGGCGUGACAGAACCGGUGGGUAGUCCAGUCGGCGCGACAGUUGGAGCACAUCCGGAAGAUCGACCACGUGUCGUCCCAGUUCCGGUGCUGCGACUGGUUCCUGUGCUGAAAACCAAACAAAAUUCCGACUGCGUCUGAAAUGCAAUCUGACUGAAGAAGCCACAAGAUCACAGUGCAAGCU